GCUAAUUCCCGGUGACUGAAUUCUUUUUAUGUGAAGUCUUAGGGUCUUAUCUUCCUGCCACACGGAUCUUUCUUCUUUUCUGAAGGAUUGGCCUUCCAAAAUUUGCAGAGCAAUGCAAAACCUUCGAGCUUCUUUUUUUAUGGAUAUAGAAUAAAAUGGGGAUCCUUGGACGCAGUGCAAUUGUUACAAAGCCAAAUGAGUCUGUGAGGCUCAUUGUAACGACUUUUAUUGGAGUUGUUUUUGGCUUCCUGAUAAGAGCAUCAUUUCCAACACUUCCAUUAGCCAAGGUGCACAAAGUAUUCUCUUUCCUGUCUUUGUCUAUAAUUCCUCUUUGCUUCUUGUUAAUUUUAUUUGUUUUAUU